rfam:Trichuris suis scaffold163.7, whole genome shotgun sequence.
GCGCCAGUGGUGUAGCGGCAUCAUGCAAGGUUCCCACCCUUGCGACCCGGGUUCGAUUCCCGGUUGGCGCA